rnacentral:rRNA from 1 species
UACGGGGGGGCAAGCGGUUGUUCGGAAUUACUGGGCGUAAAGGGUUCGUAGGCGGUGCGGUAAGUCGGAAGUGAAAUCUCCAGGCUCAACUUGGAGGCUGCUCCCGAAACUGCCGUGCUAGAGUACGGGAGAGGCGAGUGGAAUUGCAGGUGUAGCGGUGAAAUGCGUAGAUAUCUGCAGGAACACCCGUGGCGAAGGCGGCUCGCUGGACCGUAACUGACGCUGAGGAACGAAAGCUAGGGGAGCAAACAGG